rnacentral:rRNA from 1 species
CCUACGGGUGGCAGCAGUGGGGAAUAUUGCACAAUGGGGGGAACCCUGAUGCAGCGACGCCGCGUGGGUGAAGGAGUACUUCGGUACGUAAAGCCCUAUCAGCAGGGACGAAAAUGACGGUACCUGACUUAGAAGCCCCGGCUAACUACGUGCCAGCCGCCGCGGUAAUACGUAGGGGGCAAGCGUUAUCCGGAUUUACUGGGUGUAAAGGGAGCGUAGACGGCAGUGCAAGUCCGAAGUGAAAGCCCGGGGCUCAACCCUGGGACUGCUCUUGAAACUGUAAUGCUAGAGUGCGGGAGGGGCAAGGGGAAUUCCUGGUGUAGCGGUGAAAUGCGUAGAUAUUAGGAGGAACACCAGCGGCGAAGGCGGCCUACUGGACCGUAACUGACGUUGAGGCUCGAAAGCGUGGGGAGCAAACAGGAUUAGAUACCCGAGUAGUC